AUGUUUCCUGCGAUCAGCAAAUCUGAAUUUCUGUUGCCUAUUUGGUUGCAGCUAGAGUUUGUGGUUUGUUUCGUCUGUCAAUUUUAUUUUACCUUUCCUGGUUACCAUGUUCGGUACACUCAUCCUUGCAAAAGAGAAAUGUAUGGUACCUUCAGUUUGUUAUUACGUCCUACAGGUCUUCGUUUUUUCUCCUCUUGUCUUGCUAGCAAAGCCUAUAACAGAUAUUAUAGCAAGAUUUUAAUUUGGGAUGCAUGCCAUCUAUCAUUACAUGGGCAUGAGGAACAACAUUUUAUACAUGAAAGUUUCCUUCUACAACAUUUGCUUUACCUUCAGAAUUUAUACGCCUUAAGAAAAGCAAUGUUGUUGCUGAGGGAAAACAUGUUUUUGAGAAAUUAA
rnacentral:rRNA from 1 species